rnacentral:rRNA from 1 species
UACAGAGGGGGCAAGCGUUGUCCGGAAUUACUGGGCGUACAGCGCGCGCAGGCGGUGGCUGACGUGCCGUGUGACAAGCGGGGGCUCAACCCCCGAGGGCCACGGUAAACGGGGCGACUGGAGGAAGGGAGAGGGAUGUGGAAUGCCCGGUGGAGCGGUGAAAUGCGUAGAGAUCGGGCGGAACACCAGCGGCGAAGGCGGCAUCCUGGCCCUUACCUGACGCUGAGGCGCGAGAGCGUGGGGAGCAAACCGG